rnacentral:rRNA from 1 species
GAUGAACGCUGGCGGCGUGCUUAACACAUGCAAGUCGAACGGAAAGGCCCAAGCUUGCUUGGGUACUCGAGUGGCGAACGGGUGAGUAACACGCGGGUGAUCUGCCCUGCACUUCGGGAUAAGCCUGGGAAACUGGGUCUAAUACCGGAUAGGACCGCACCGUGAGGGUGUGGUGGAAAGUUUUUCGGUGUGGGAUGGGCCCGCGGCCUAUCAGCUUGUUGGUGGGGUAAUGGCCUACCAAGGCGGCGACGGGUAGCCGGCCUGAGAGGGUGGACGGCCACAUUGGGACUGAGACACGGCCCAGACUCCUACGGGAGGCAGCAGUGGGGAAUAUUGCACAAUGGGCGGAAGCCUGAUCCAGCCAUGCCGCGUGAGUGAUGACGGCCUUAGGGUUGUAAAGCUCUUUCGCACGCGACGAUAAUGACGGUAGCGUGAGAAGAAGCCCCGGCUAACUUCGUGCCAGCCGCCGCCGUAA